rnacentral:rRNA from 1 species
CCUUGGCGUCUCAGAGAGUUUGAUUAUGGCUCAGGAUGAACGCUAGCUACAGGCUUAACACAUGCAAGUCGAGGGGCAGCAUGCAGGUAGCUUGCUAUCUGUGAUGGCGACCGGCGCACGGGUGCGUAACACGUAUCCAACCUACCCACGGCUCGGGGAUAGCCUUUCGAAAGAAAGAUUAAUACCCGAUGGCCUUACAGAAAGACAUCUUUCGGUAAGUAAAGAUUCAUCGGCGGUGGAUGGGGAUGCGUCCGAUUAGCUUGUUGGCGGGGUAACGGCCCACCAAGGCGACGAUCGGUAGGGGUUCUGAGAGGAAGGUCCCCCACACUGGAACUGAGACACGGUCCAGACUCCUACGGGAGGCAGCAGUGAGGAAUAUUGGUCAAUGGGCGAAGGCCUGAACCAGCCAAGUAAGCGUGAGGGACGACGGCCCUACGGGUUGUAAACCUCUUUUGUUUGGGAAUAAAGUCACCCACGUGUGGGUGUUUGUAUGUACCAUACGAAUAAGCAUCGGCUAAUUCCGUGCCAGCCGCAGC